rnacentral:misc_RNA from 1 species
CCUCACGCGUUCCCCCUCUCUAUUCUUCUCGAAAUCCAACGCGAACACCACCAACACCACCAUCGCCCCUGCGAUUCCUAUCCCAAUCCCGCCGUCGCUCCGGCGGGGACGAUGAGCUACUACAAUCCCCACGGCCAUGGCGGCGCGCCCCCGUCUUCGCCGUGCCCCUCCCCGUCUCCGCCCCCGCCGCCGCCCCAAGGGUACCCAAUGGACCCGUACGCGGAGCGCGGGAUGGAGCACCACCACCACCACCAGUACGGGCCGCCUCCGCCGCAGCCGAUGUACGCGUCGCCGUACGGGCAGCCGCCGCCGCCGCCGAUGUACCAGCAGCCGUACGGACAGCCGGUGUACGCGUCGCCGUACGGACAGCCGCCGCCGCCACCGGCGAUGUACCCGCCGCCGUACGCGCAGCCGCCGCCGCCGCCACCACGGAAGACCGGCGCGUCGUUCGCGGAAGGAUGCUGUGCAGGGUUUGCCGCAAUCUGUUGCUGCUGCCUCAUGGACGCAUGCUUCUGAUCGUGUGGUCGACCACAAGCCCAAGAAACGACGUCUUCCUCCUGGCCUGGGUCAGGGUGCCCAUCAGCGAGGAGAUCAACCACCGCGUUGAGCAGCUGGUGGUAGCCUGGCGCCGUUUGCAUCUCUGCACCGGGAACGAAGCUGGAGUUGCACGUAAAGCUGACAAAAGAAG